CUAUAUGCGAGUGUACGGGUGUCAAACCCCUGCGCGUAAUGAAAGUGAACGGAGGUGAGAGCUUCGGCGCAUCAUCGACCGAUCCUGAUGUUCUCGGAUGGAUUUGAGUAAGAGCAUAUUGGGCCGGACCCGAAAGAAGGUGAACUAUGCCUGUGUAGGGUAAAGCCAGAGGAAACUCUGGUGGAGGCUCGCAGCGGUUCUGACGUGCAAAUCGAUCGUCAAACAUGGGCAUGGGGGCGAAAGACUAAUCGAACCUUCUAGUAGCUGGUUUCCGCCGAAGUUUCCCUCAGGAUAGCAGUGUUGAAUUUCUCAGUUUUAUGAGGUAAAGCGAAUGAUUAGGGACUCGGGGGCGCUUUUUAGCCUUCAUCCAUUCUCAAACUUUAAAUAUGUAAGAAGCCCUUGUUACUUCAUUGAACGUGGGCCUUCGAAUGUAUCAACACUAGUGGGCCAUUUUUGGUAAGCAGAACUGGCGAUGCGGGAUGAACCGAUCGCGGGGAUAAGGUGCCGGAGUGGACGCUCAUCAGACACCACAAAAGGUGUUAUCACAUCUAGACAGCAGGACGGUGGCCAUGGAAGUCGGAAUCCGCUAAGGACUGUGUAACAACUCACCUGCCGAAUGUGAUAGCCCUGAAAAUGGAUGGCGCUCAGGCGUCCCACCCAUACCCCGCCCUCAGGGUAGACACGAUGCCCUGAGGAGUAGGCGGACGUGGAGGUCAGUGACGAAGCCUAGGGCGUGAGCCCGGGUCGAACGGCCUCUAGUG
rnacentral:rRNA from 1 species